CAGGGGGUAGGGGGUAGGGGAUAGGGUGUAGGGAUUAAGAGUGGAGGAUAGGGUGUAGGGUUUAGGGGUGGAGGACAGGGUGUAGGGAUUAAGAGUGGAGGAUAGGGUGUAGGGUUUAGGGGUGGAGGACAGGGUGUAGGGUAUAGGGGUGGAGGAUAGGGUGUAUGGUUUAAGGGUG